GUCUUCCUACGGGGCGCAGCAGGGAAUCUUCCACAAUGGGCGAAAGCCUGAUGGAGCAACGCCGCGUGGGUGAAGAAGGUCUUCGGAUCGUAAAACCCUGUUGUUAGAGAAGAAAGUGCGUGAGAGUAACUGUUCACGUUUCGACGGUAUCUAACCAGAAAGCCACGGCUAACUACGUGCCAGCAGCCGCGGUAAUACGUAGGUGGCAAGCGUUAUCCGGAUUUAUUGGGCGUAAAGGGACCGCAGGCGGUCUUUUAAGUCUGAUGUGAAAGCCUUCGGCUUAACCGGAGUAGUGCAUUGGAAAC
rnacentral:rRNA from 1 species